GCCAUCUUGUGCGCGGCGGCAGGCCCGGCGGCGCGGCUCCCACGCCAGCCCCCACCGGCGGUAGGGAGCGGCAGCAUUCCCGGGGGGAGCGGGCGCUGUUCCCCGUCACCUGUCGGGACCGGGUGCCUGGGCAGCGGAGACCCUCCCGCCAUGGCGACGCCCGCACGCCCAGCUCCUCCUCGACCUUCCUCCCGUCAUGCACCGCGCGUCUCCGCCUGUUCCGGCCCAGCGCCGCGCGGUGAUUGGCCUCUCGGGCGUCCUACCCGGAAGCGGGCGCCGCGGCAAGAGAUUUGAACGGCAGCGGCCGCCCCGGGAGGCGGCUGCCGAGCCGAGUCUGCUCAGCGUGGAGAAGCCCAAAGGCCGGCUGCAGUUUCUCCUCGCAGGGGCUGAGAAGAAUUGCCAGGUCCCCGUUGCUCUCAGAAUGGCUUUAGGUGAUUAUGAGGAAAUUCUCAAGUGCUACGAAUCCCAUGAAAGGACUGGGACAGAGCUCUGGCAGUGUCACUGGAGGUGGGUGUCAGUGGUCGCUUCUUGCUCUAGUGAAGACGCUGCCCGCUGUGCGCGUGACACAUUCGCUGCCCCUGUGAGAUUACAGGCAAGAAAAGACGUCCUCACGCUGAGCUUUCAAGGUCUCUUUUUCCGGUUCUAGGUGGGUUUGCUGAUUAUUUCGAUGUUCUUCGGUGGCUCGACUCAUGGGUGUGUGGGCACCUACGUGAUGUACUUUCACCACUAGUUUCCCCAGCGGGUCAGCAAUAUCUUGCCAUACUUGAGCAGCCCAGAGGGGUUUACCUCUGGGUUUGCCUGUGCUGCCAGUUGCUCUGCUUCCAGUGCCUCUGGCCUUCUUGUGGGGCUGCCACCACUGGUGGGGCCACUCUCCACCCCUCCCGGCGCCCCGAGCGUGCCUGGGGGAGGAACUGCCGCUCUGCUCAGCAGCAGAAGGCCCCACUGGGCCUUCCGUGGGGCCCUGCGAGGCCCGGGAGAGGCCCUGGGGCUCUUGGUGGGGACCGCUUGGCCCAGCUCAUGCUCCUGAGAGGGCCGGAGAAGCCCUGGGGUUGCCUGGAGGGCAGCAGGGCCCUGCCCGUGCCCCAGACAAGCCCGGCUGCUGCGUCCGGGUAUGGAAUUGGCCAUGUCCACCAGCUAUCCCCAGGGUGUUCAGCCUCCUGAGCUGGGAGAUAAGGAUGGAGAGCAGAACAACCCACCCAUAACCCAGGAGGAAGUAGCCAAUGACCUGCUUCUGCACCCAGACGCACAGAAGUCUAUGGGGCCGGAUGGGAUUCACCCAAGAGUACUCAGGGAGCUGGCGGGAGAGCUCACCAAGCCUCUCUCCAUCGUUUAUCAACAAUCCUGGUCAACAGGGCAGGUCCCAGAUGCCUGGAGGGUGGCUAAUGUGACGCCCAUCUACAAGAAGGGUCGGAAGGAGGAUCCGGGGAACUACAGGCCUGUCAGCCUGACCUCGGUACCAGGAAAGAUCAUGGAGAGGAUCAUCUCGAGUGAGCUCUCACGGCAAGCGCAGGGCAGCCAAGGGAUCGGGGCCAGCCAGCAUGGCUUUAGGAAAGGGAGGUGCUGCUUAACCAACCUGAUCGCUUUCUGUGACCAUGUUACCCGCCUUCUGGAUGCGGGGAAGGCUGUGGACGUUGUCUGUCUGGACUUUGGCAAGGCCUUUGACACCGUCCCCCACAGCAUUCUCCUGGAGAAGCUGGCGAUCCAUGGCAUAGACGAGUGUACUCUUUGCUGGGUUAAAAACUGGCUGGCUGGCCGUGCCCAGAGAGUUGGGAUUCUAAAUAUGCGUAUGGAGUAGUCCACACUUUUGGAAAAAUUUGGGAGGAAAGAGGUUUAAUUAAUACCCAAGGAAGGAAUCUAAUACAUCAAGAACUAAUAGUGAAAAUUUUAAAGGCGUUAAGAAAACCAAAGGAGAUAGCAGUGGUACAUGUGAGAGGACACCAAAAGGGAUUAGAUUAUCGAACCAGAGGGAAUAACCUAGCCGAUAGAGAGGCCCAGGAAGCAGCCCUGAGGACUCACGUCGCUAAAAUUAAUGUAGUACAAGUACAAGGAGACAUUAGUGAAAAAGAACUAGAGGAGAAAGAAAAGAAAUUUACCCCUGAGGAACAGGCAAAAUUAGAGAAAAUAGGAGCUAAGUUAGAACAGGGAAAAUGGAUGCUGCCCGACGGGCGAGAGAUGUUGCCAAAAGCUUAUGCCAGGCAAAUAUUAGAACGCUUACACACACAAACACAUUGGGGUACAAAGGCGAUAAGUGAUCAUUUCCUUAAACAAUUUGGCUGUAUUGGGAUUUUUGAAAUAGCAAAGCAAAUCAGGCGAGGAUGUUUAACUUGUCAAAAAGUAAACAAGAAAGUGUUUCGACAAGCAGCCACGGGAGGAAGGAAAACAGCUUAUAGACCUUUUGAAAGAAUACGAGUCGAUUUUACUGAAUUGCCUAAGGUAGGGAGAAUAAAAUAUUUACUAGUACUAGUAGAUCAUUUAACACAAUGGGUAGAAGCUUACCCUGUAGCGCGAGCUACGGCACAGAUGGUAGUAAAAAUCUUAUUAGAACACUUAAUACCUAGAUAUGGGAUAAUCCAGUAUAUUGAUUCUGAUCAGGGCGCACAUUUUACUUCUAAAAUAAUAAAAUUAUUAUGUCAAUCAUUAGGUAUUCAAUGGGAAUACCACACUCCGUGGCACCCACAAAGCUCAGGGAAAGUAGAAAGAAUGAAUCAAACAAUAAAACAGCAAUUGGCUAAAUUAAUGAUUGAGACACAGAUGUCCUGGACGAAAUGCCUACCAUUGGCACUAUUAAACAUAAGAACUAAGCCACACAGUGAGACUGGAUUAUCGCCAUAUGAAAUGUUAUAUGGAAUGCCUUACUCCCAAGGGAUGCCCCUGGGGAACAAUGUGGUUGAAGAUUAUAGUAUCCAAAAAUAUAUAAUAUCCAUUGGAAAAAGGUUAAAAGAACUACGAGAGAUUGGGAUGAUGGCUCAAACACCACCAUUAGGAUUUGACACAUGUGUCGUGAGUGAAAGGUCCAGUGAAGGAGUGGAGAGUCACAUCUGAGCCCGGAGAAGCCAAGCUAACCAUCAGCCGAACUUAAAGAGACCUUCAUCAAGAAGCAUAAGCCAAGUUGCUGUGGGAAUUUCAUUGUAACUACUCCUGUAGAAUUAGUGGACAGGGAUAAAUACCUAUUAGGAAAGGUGAUUUAGUCCAUUGUGUAAACGGUGCUGUUUAUUUUUAAGGGCAAAGUGUUCUACAUGUUUUAAAAUAUAUCAUUUUCCAAAAAAGAAGUCAAGGAUCUAGGAAACAGUUUAGAAUUUUUGUGCAUUCGCUGUGGGGCCACCACUCCCCUAUAUAACCUACCAUGGGUUAGGCUUUAUUGUUGUCAAUUUAAUCAAAGAGUGCUUCUUGAUUAAAGGUUACCCCUUAAAAGAUUAAGGAAGAGGGCAAGACCGGAGGGGAACGAGUGGUGCGGCUUGAAAGGUCUGCCAAGGGCUGCAACCCCUUCGGGCUGUGACCGCCGAUCACUAUGGCCCUGACCGGACCGCUUCUGGUCCUCUUUGGGGUAAGCUCCUUGACUCUGGUUAUGGCAAACAACUGCAGCCAGUGCGUAGGAACUACUAGGAGGGGACGGGUAAGUUCCCAGACUUUGGUUUAUAAUAUCGAAAUAAAAGAAAGAAUAAGGGAAUCGGUACAGCACAGACUACUAUUUAACUCAUUUUAUCAUGAAAUAGAAACAGGAGUGGAAUAUGAAAUUCCCACAGUUGCUAAAAAUCUCUUUGUAAAUCUUGCUGAAAACAUUGCUAAGUCAUUAAAUGUAACUAAUUGUUAUGUUUGUGGUGGAACAAGCCAAGGUGAACGAUGGCCAUGGGAGGCUAUGGAGAGCAACAUUAGUAAUCCUCAAAUAUGGAAAACAAUGCGAGACAAAAUACCAAGAUGAGAACUGCUUUGUACCAAAAUCGCUUAGCCUUGGAUUAUUUGCUAGCACAAGAGGGAGGUGUUUGUGGGAAGUUUAACCUUAGUAAUUGUUGUUUAGAAAUUGAUGAUGAAGGGGAAGCUGUAAAUGAACUUGUAAAAGAAAUGAAGAAAAUUGCACAUGUCCCAGUUCAGACUUGGACUGGAGUCGACCUAGAAGGAUUCUGGGAAAACUUUACGGGAGGUGAUUGGCUUACUAAAAUCGGGAUUGUUAUAUUGGGGGCAUUUGCAGGAUUGUUAAUAAUUCCAUGUUUUAUACCUUGUUUUAUUAGACUAAUACACUCAGUUAUACAAGGAACGCAGAUGGCUACAGAACCUGUUGAUUCAGAACCAGGGAAAGAGAAAACUCUUUCCCUGAUGAUACUAAAGACAAAAGAAGAUUCGAAACUAACACCCAUUCGGCAAGUAUUAACUCGGUUGGCAACAAAAACACGAAUCAAUGCCAUAGAAAAAGAAAAUGGGGGAUUGUGAGAUGUGCUUAACUGAUUCGUGUCAGUGUGGAACAGUGUUAGGGCCACAGGGUGAAGUGUGACCUUUGACUGUUUUGUCUGUCUGGCCGCAGAUGAGACGGUGUGUCUGUCGUGUCUGUGUUUUGCAGGAGCCACCUGGCGAACAUUCUAGAAUACCACCUUAAACUGGUCCUGUUGUUAUCUGCAUAGUGACCUGUAAGGGGGGGGAUACACCCAUUUUUGGCAAGGGCCAACCAUUUUAGAGGCAGUUAUGAAUAUGUAUUAGUAUAGGAGAUAUAAACCAAAAAUGGGGUCUGUAAGGUGUGUGUCUUGGUUGGGCAGGGACCCCAGGCACACCCAGCGCUGUUUGCUUGCCUUUGUUCCUUUAAUAAAUUAUAAAUUCUAAUUGGAAUCCUGUUUGCGAUUAAAUCAUUUAUCACAAUGGGGUGAAAUCCUCUUGGCGGCCGGUCACCAGUGGUGGCCCUCAGGGCUCAGUUUUGGGGCCGGCUUUGUUUAAUGUCUUUAUCAAUGAUGUGGAUGAGGGGAUUGAGUGCACCCUCAGUAAGUUUGCAGAUGACACCAGACUGGGUGGGGGUGUUGAUCUGCUUGAGGGUAGGAAGGCUCUCCAGAGGGACCUGGACAGGCUGGAUCGAUGGGCCAAGGCCAACUCUAUGAGGUUUAAUAAGGCCAAGUGCCGGGUCCUGCAUUUCGGUCACAACAACCCACAGCAACGCUACAGGCUUGGGGCAGAGUGGCUGGAAAGCUGCCCGGCAGAAAAGGACCUGGGGGUGCUGGUGGACGGCCAGCUUAACAUGAGCCAGCAGUGUGCCCAGGUGGCCAAGAGGGCCAACAGCAUUCUGGCUUCUAUCAGGAAUAGCGUGGCCAGCAGGAGCAGGGAAGUGAUGGUGCCUCUGUACUGGGCACUGGUGAGGCCCCACCUCGAGUGCUGUGUUGAGUUCUGGGCCCCUCUGCACAAGAGGGACAUUGAGGUGCUGGAGCGUGUCCAGAGGAGAGCUACCAGGCUGGUGAGGGGUCUGGAGACCAGGGCAUAUGAGGAGAGGCUGCGGGAGCUGGGCAUGUUUAGCUUGGAGAAGAGGAGGCUGAGGGGAGACCUCAUUG